rnacentral:rRNA from 1 species
UACGAACUGUGCGAACGUUAUUCGGAAUCACUGGGCUUACAGGGUGCGUAGGCGGCUAUUCAGGUCAGACGUGAAAUCCCCCGGCUUAACCUGGGAACUGCGUCUGAUACUGGAAGGCUCGAGUUUGGGAGAGGGAUGUGGAAUUCCAGGUGUAGCGGUGAAAUGCGUAGAUAUCUGGAGGAACACCGGUGGCGAAGGCGGCAUCCUGGACCAACACUGACGCUGAGGCGCGAAAGCUAGGGUAGCAAACGGG